CAUCGCCGCGGGAAUACAGAGGGUGCGAGCGUUAAUCGGAUUUACUGGGCGUAAAGCGUGCGUAGGCGGCUUCUUAAGUCGGAUGUGAAAUCCCUGAGCUUAACUUAGGAAUUGCAUUCGAUACUGGGAAGCUAGAGUAUGGGAGAGGAUGGUAGAAUUCCAGGUGUAGCGGUGAAAUGCGUAGAGAUCUGGAGGAAUACCGAUGGCGAAGGCAGCCAUCUGGCCUAAUACUGACGCUGAGGUACGAAAGCAUGGGGAGCAAACAGGAUUAGAUACCCCCGUAGUCCCUGUCUCUUAUACC
rnacentral:rRNA from 1 species